AAAAGCUACCCCGGGGAUAACAGGCUUAUCUCCCCCAAGAGUCCACAUCGACGGGGAGGUUUGGCACCUCGAUGUCGGCUCAUCGCAUCCUGGGGCUGUAGUCGGUCCCAAGGGUUGGGCUGUUCGCCCAUUAAAGCGGUACGCGAGCUGGGUUCAGAACGUCGUGAGACAGUUCGGUCCCUAUCCGUCGUGGGCGCAGGAAAUUUGAGAGGAGCUGUCCUUAGUACGAGAGGACCGGGAUGGACGCACCGCUGGUGUACCAGUUGUCUUGCCAAAGGCAUCGCUGGGUAGCUAUGUGCGGACGGGAUAAGUGCUGAAAGCAUCUAAGCAUGAAGCCCCCCUCAAGAUGAGAUUUCCCAUAGCGUCAAGCUAGUAAGAUCCCUGAAAGAUGAUCAGGUUGAUAGGUCAGAGGUGGAAGCGCGGUGACGUGUGGAGCUGACUGAUACUAAUCGAUCGAGGACUUAACCAAU
rnacentral:rRNA from 2 species